UUCAGCACUAGGAAAUGCCUAUUUUGGACAAGGCACUGGCGCAAUUUACCUGGACGAUGUGCAUUGCAAGGGGAAUGAGUCGUCCCUCUUUAAGUGCCAGAGCAGUGGCUGGGGUGUGCACAAUUGUAACCACUAUGAGGAUGCCGGCGUUGUCUGCUCAGAAGCAACAACUGGAUACCCGAGUACCUACCCAUGGAGAACUACACGUGAGUCUGCACAUUCCACGUUCCCUUCCUGUGCUUUGCUUUGGGGUUGUAGGAGUUAGCAGCCCAGCUACACAGUCUGAGGCCACCUGGUGGACCAGGUGUGGGUGGGCCAGAGGAUGUUGUUGGACAGCCCACGUUGGAGGGCAGGGCAUGGUGCUGCCAGAAAUGUCCCCGGGGCUGAGUUUCACCUUGCCUGCAGUUAUGGGGAGCACAAAGCUGUG
ensembl:lncRNA